UCUACACCCCAUAAAAUGGCGGCCUCACGACGGAGUAGUCGAGAGCUGCGGCGACGGCCGUUGUUUGCUCCGCCGUGCGCGGUGCCCAGUGUGGGAUCUUGAGCGCCCGAGUCUACGAGAGUUGGUGCCUCCAGCGUCUUUCUCUUCCACGACGGAUCUCGAGGCGUCUAAUCGCCCUUCCCAAGAAAUGCCCUGGCAACGGGAUUCUCUUUGUCAAGAUGUAGGUAGAGAAUGGAGUAGAAAUUCAGAGAGUGCUGCUAUUGGAUAAUUCUAGGAUUCCUGUGCGCAUACAACUGUUGCUAGUACUCUUCUGUGAUUGCUGCUUUGGAUGUCAGUUUUGCGUGUUGAACAGUUAGCUGCUCCAUCUUGCAAACAGUUUUUACUGUAGUUUUGAACAGAUGAUGUGAAGUGUUUGGAUAAUCUCAAUGCAGUAAUAUAGUAGUUCAAGCAGGGUGUUGCUCCCAUUAGUUUGGCAAUGUAAAUUCUGAUCAUUGUUUUUAGGCAUGUCAUUUUUGUUGCUAUUAACAUAUAAUAAUUUUAGUUGAGAAAUAUUGCAUUU